UAGAACAUGGCUAAACAAGACCAAAGCAUCUCCCUUACACCGAGAAGAUACUCGUGCAAAUCGAGUUGUUCUAA
rnacentral:tRNA from 1 species